UGGAGCAUAGCCAAGUGGUAAGGCACUAGAUUUUGGUUCUAGCAUUCGGUAGGUUCGAGUCCUCCUGCUCCA
rnacentral:tRNA from 1 species